AUGAUACUCCCUCCGUCCAACAAAAGAUGUCUCAAUUUUGACUAAAUUUGAAUGCAUCUAUACGUCAAAUUUAGUCAAAAUUGAGACAUCCUUUGUUGGACGGGGGAAGUACUUU
rfam:Brachypodium distachyon strain Bd21 chromosome 3, whole genome shotgun sequence.